rfam:Oryza sativa Japonica Group DNA, chromosome 1, cultivar: Nipponbare, complete sequence.
AAAAAGACAAACCCUAGGUUUUCAUGUCCAACUUUGACUGUCCGUCUUAUAUGAUAUUUUUUUAUAAUUCGUAUUUUUAUUGUUGUUAGAUGAUAAAACAUGAUUAAUAUUUUAUACGUGACUUGUCUUUUUAUUUUUUUUUCAUAUUUUUUUAAAUAAGAUGGAUGGUCCAACGUUGGACACGAAAAUCAGGGUUUGUCUUUUU